rnacentral:sRNA from 1 species
UUAGAGAGUAAUGGGGAAGCUAUUAGGGAAGGCGCCGUUGGAUUGCUUUUGCUUAAUGAAAGGAAUGCAGGGAAUGAAGUUUUACCCCAACCCUACUUGCUUCCUGCUGCUAAUGUUGGCUUUGAGGAUGGCAAUUACAUUUACAAUUACAUCCGCAGCACCAAGUCUCCUACAGCUUAUAUUUCCAGAGUGAUAACAGAAUUGGGUGUGAAGCCAGCUCCAAAUGUGGCUUUAUUUUCAUCUAGGGGCCCCAAUCAUAUUGAUCCGGCAAUCCUCA